GUAGGGUCCAAGCGUUAAUCGGAAUUACUGGGCGUAAAGCGUGCGCAGGCGGUUGUGCAAGACCGAUGUGAAAUCCCCGGGCUUAACCUGGGAAUUGCAUUGGUGACUGCACGGCUAGAGUGUGUCAGAGGGGGGUAGAAUUCCACGUGUAGCAGUGAAAUGCGUAGAGAUGUGGAGGAAUACCGAUGGCGAAGGCAGCCCCCUGGGAUAACACUGACGCUCAUGCACGAAAGCGUGGGGGGAGCAAACAGGAUUAGAUACCCUGGUAGUCCACGCCCCUAAACGAUGUCAACUAGUUGUUGGGGAUUCCAUUUCCUUAGUAACGUAGCUAACGCGUGAAGUUGACCGCCCUGGGAGUACGGUCGCAAGAUUA
rnacentral:rRNA from 1 species